rnacentral:rRNA from 1 species
CCUACGGGUGGCAGCAGUGAGGCAUAUUGGUCAAUGGCCGGAAGGCUGAACCAGCCAUGCCGCGUGAAGGUCAGUGCCCUAUGGGCGUUAAACUUCUUUUGUGCGGGAGCAAUAAUGGUCACGUGUGGCCAGACGAGAGUACCGUACGAAUAAGCAUCGGCUAACUCCGUGCCAGCAGCCGCGGUAAUACGGGGGAUGCAAGCGUUAUCCGGAUUUAUUGGGUUUAAAGGGUGCGUAGGCUGUAAGGUAAGUCAGCGGUGAAAUGCCCCCGCUCAACGGGGUGAAGUGCCAUUGAUACUGCCUGGCUGGAAUGCGGAUGCCGUGGGAGGAAUGUGUGGUGUAGCGGUGAAAUGCAUAGAUAUCACACAGAACACCGAUUGCGAAGGCAUCUCACGAAUCCGCGAUUGACGCUGAUGCACGAAAGCGUGGGUAUCAAACAGGAUUAGAUACCCUAGUAGUC